UACGUAGGGUGCAAGCGUUGUCCGGAAUUAUUGGGCGUAAAGAGCUCGUAGGCGGUUUGUCGCGUCGAAUGUGAAAACCCGGGGCUCAACCCCGGGCCUGCAUUCGAUACGGGCAGACUAGAGUUCGGUAGGGGAGUCUGGAAUUCCUGGUGUAGCGGUGAAAUGCGCAGAUAUCAGGAGGAACACCGGUGGCGAAGGCGGGACUCUGGGCCGUAACUGACGCUGAGGAGCGAAAGCAUGGGGAGCGAACAGG
rnacentral:rRNA from 1 species